rnacentral:rRNA from 1 species
GAGUUUGAUCCUGGCUCAGAUUGAACGCUGGCGGCAUGCUUUACACAUGCAAGUCGAACGGCAGCACGAGUGCUUGCACUUGGUGGCGAGUGGCGAACGGGUGAGUAAUGCAUUGGAACGUGCCUUGUAUUGGGGGAUAACUGAGCGAAAGCUUAGCUAAUACCGCAUACGCCCUGAGGGGGAAAGCUGGGGAUCGUUUGACCUGGCGAUAUAAGAGCGGCCAAUGUCUGAUUAGCUAGUUGGUGAGGUAAAGGCUUACCAAGGCGACGAUCAGUAGCGGGUCUGAGAGGAUGAUCCGCCACACUGGGACUGAGAGACGGCCCAGACUCCUACGGGAGGCAGCAGUGGGGAAUUUUGGACAAUGGGGGGAACCCUGAUCCAGCCAUGCCGCGUGUCUGAAGAAGGCCUUCCGGUUGUAAAGGACUUUUGUUGGGGAGCAAAGGUAUCUGGUUAAGAGCUGGAGAUUAUGAGAUACCCAAAGAAUAAGCACCG